UGGUAAUGCCGGAUGCUCCGACUCCUCGCAUGGGGUGUCGGGAAAGAUUUCAUCGGUAUGGGAUGGGGUCGCGUCCUAUCAGGUAGUCGGCGGGGUAACGGCCCACCGAGCCUACGACGGGUAGCCGGCCUGAGAGGGCGACCGGCCACAUUGGGACUGAGAUACGGCCCAGACUCCUACGGGAGGCAGCAGUGGGGAAUAUUGCACAAUGGGCGCAAGCCUGAUGCAGCGACGCCGCGUGCGGGAUGACGGCCUUCGGGUUGUAAACCGCUUUUGAUCGGGAGCAAGCCUUCGGGUGAGUGUACCUUUCGAAUAAGCACCGGCUAACUACGUGCCAGCAGCCGCGGUAAUACGUAGGGUGCAAGCGUUAUCCGGAAUUAUUGGGCGUAAAGGGCUCGUAGGCGGUUCGUCGCGUCCGGUGUGAAAGUCCAUCGCUUAACGGUGGAUCUGCGCCGGGUACGGGCGGGCUGGAGUGCGGUAGGGGAGACUGGAAUUCCCGG
rnacentral:rRNA from 1 species